GGUGCUCCUUCUGCUGGUGGAGAAACGGAGCCCAUCCUUAUUCCAUUCCCGUAUUACAUACGACAUCUGUCAAAAAUUACUUUUACUGUUUCUGCAACCACUGUGCUCAUGCACCGUUUAUGUCCUGGGUUGCGACCACCUCCGCCACCGCACCGACAUGGCUUGUCCUGCUCACAGCUGGAGAUCUCCGAGGGGGAGGAUGGCAUCCACGAGACAGGGACAGAGCAAAUCCUCAAAAACACAAGCAUCUGUAGCAUUUGUGCUGAAAAUCGAUGUUAGAGCCCUGGCUGUUUCUCGUUUUGCAGCUGUUUCCUCAGCCUGAUGCUGUAGAUUGCAUUGGCAGAACGGAGCUAUGGGUGAUGACAGUGGCCUCUUUUAUACCUGGGGCUGUGGCCGCUGUUGAUGAACCGUCUAUUGAAGCACCAAAAGCAGCUCCUGGAAGAUGAGGCAGCCUCAUUUCCUUUCUCCUUUCCCACUUGUCUCUUCUGGGGUCAAUACUCCAUUUUUGGCUUAUUCCCUUGGGCUCUUUGUCAAGCUCUUUGGGCUGUCUAUAAAUGUAGUGUCUUCAUUAGCAUUUAAUCAGCAGGAUGUAGGGUUGUCUCUGAGCAGCAGCCCACGAAGACGCCCUGCUUCAGACAGGAGGCACCUGCGGUCGGUCGUAUCUGCUGGGGCGGCACACGCUCAUCGGAGCUUUGCACAGAGAGUGGAUGUUCCUGGGGUGAAGAUGAUGGCCUCAACCCAGCUCCUUUCUGCUGCCCAUAAAUCACAUUAGAGUAUAUCAAAGCCAAGCCCUGAACUGUCAGCGCUACCUAGAUAUUUGAUUUGCCAUAGACUUUAUGUGACCCUGGAUUAUAAAUCUCUGGCUUUCAAACACUACCUGCCAUCGUGAGCUGUUGCAGCAGCUAAUUGGCAGCCGCUCAGAGGCUGAUUUUGCUGAGGAGAAGGCACUUCUCCUGGCCGCCCUGAAAUCUGCCGGUCCCUUUCAAAAAAGGUUUGCCCGUGCAAUGAGUGAUGCUGGAUCCGUACCAAAGUCCUGUGGGAUCCAGGCGUGGAUGCGACUCUACACAGCUAAAGAAACGAGCCCGUGUCAAGGAGCGCGUGGAGGGAGAGGAAAGGGCUCGAGCCUUCCUCAUCCCCAGCAAAGCAGAAGGCGGCAGCGUCAUGCAGUAUUUGCAAAGAUGAUCUCUUCAGCCCACCAUCCCCACCAGCGACUGCCAUCACGGAUACCUCCACGUGAGGUGAGGCUGCUGAUGGCAGCUGCCAAGAAAAGACGCCGUUGACCAAAAUUACUCCAGUAACAGGGAAGCACUCGGCAAAGCCCAGCGCUGCGUUUUCCACUGCUCACCUCUCUGCAGCAAAAGCCAGCGGACAGUCUGCGCAGGCAUUGCACCAUGAGUUACAAGUGGCAGAUUAAAAAAAAACAGAGGGGCUGUACUUUGAACACACAAAAAAAUGAGCCUUUUCUCACACGUGCCUUUGCACGGAAUUAGGAGACAAGCAAUGUUAUUGCUUUUGUCCCAGUGGAGCCUGGCACAGCGGGUUUGUCUCAGAUGUUUUUCCUGCCUUUGACUCUCAGCCUGUUCGGUGUGCUUCCACCAGCUCCACACCUCCUCAAGGUGAUUCAGAAAAUGAAACAUGACAAAACAAAACUCAUUUUAAUAGCUUGUCUUGGCCAAGGCCAACUAGGAAUACAGCUGUGUUAUUAUCAUGAGCUGGAAUGCAAAGCUAUUUACUUCAUUAGCAGGAAUGACAACAAAAUAGCAGCCCAUGGUGCUGGCAACGGUAGAGCCAGAACUAAAAUAUUGCAUUCAAAAUAGAAAAAGACCUGGAAUAAACUCCUUAUUGUGGCUGUAAAAUAAUUUUUCUUGGACAAAAUAGGCUCAGAAACUUCCAAUGGCAUGUGACAGGCUCCUUGAAAAGCGGGUUUUAUCCAACGUCUGACUGUGCAAACCUCUGACAACCUGAGGAGAUGCCUCCAGACGAGAGCCAGGGCUGAACACUGGCACUUCACUGACAAGUGAAUGCUUAAAGGCUGGAGACUGAAGGAGGAGCUAAAACUAUUAACCAAAGAGGUUUUAUACUGACUACAGUUCUGAGACCAGCACUGAAUUUGUGUUUCCAUUCCCAGCCAUUGACAAAGCAGACCUGAAGAGCUGCAGGGGGAGUAGAGUAAGAGUAGGCUGAAUUCCUUAUCAUGGAACUAACAUCACUAGGUUGGGUUUUGGUUUGUUUGGUUGGCUUUUUUUAUUAAAAGGCUCUCCAUACAAUUUUGAGAAGUCUUUUCACUGAUUAUGGAUAACUUAUUUCAAGGAGGAGAUUCCAUUCCCCAGCUGGACCUGGAGCAGCUCCCCCCAGCAACGUGGACGUGGAGGGCUUGCCUUGCCUUGAGAGAACAGUCCAUCAGAAGUACAAAACAUGAGGAUAAAAAGCAGAAAGAUCUGCAGUAAAACUGCUUAUCUUUGAAAGAGGAGCAGAGUGUCUAUCUGGUUGUACCAAUAUGAUGUCCUUCGGUUUGGUUCCAGAUUUUCAGUCUAUCUUGGACUAUCUUUUGCUUCUUAAGCAGAUCAAGCUGUCCCUAAAUCCCCCAUGAACAUACCUGAAAGCAACACGUUGUGUACCUCGAGCAUCUAAAAUGUCAUCUUCUUCCUCCUCGGUCCAUUGGAGAAAUCUCUUAAAACAGCCCUUCCAACAGCCUUCCGAGUGAGGAACCCAUCCCCUCACGGGAUUUUGAUUUUCUCUCCACGUGCUGGACACUCAGCCCACCCGCCCUGCUCCGCACCUCCCCGUUUCCCCAGCUCGCUUCCCACGCUCUUGCAGAUGGUGAGCACCGAAGAUCUCCAACAGCUUUAGGGACCGGCACGGAGAGCAUCCCAACGGGCACCACGGUGUGCCAGGCUGUGCCACCAACCCUCCG